rnacentral:misc_RNA from 1 species
AAGUCGGAAUCGCUAGUAAUCGUGGAUCAGAAUGCUACGGUGAAUACGUUCCCGGGCCUUGUACACACCGCCCGUCACACCAUGGGAGUGGGCGGCAAAAGAAGUAGGUAGCUUAACCUUCGGGGGGGCGCUUACCACUUUGUGGUUCAUGACUGGGGUGAAGUCGUAACAAGGUAACCGUAGGGGAACCUGCGGUUGGAUCACCUCCUUACCAAAAGAUGGCGGCUACGCCGAGUGCUCACACAGAUUGUCUGAUGAAAGUAGCGAGUGGUUUUUAUGGAGAGAG